CGGCGGACGGGUGAGUAACACGUGGAUAACCUACCUAUAAGACUGGGAUAACUUCGGGAAACCGGAGCUAAUACCGGAUAAUAUAUUGAACCGCAUGGUUCAAUAGUGAAAGACGGUUUUGCUGUCACUUAUAGAUGGAUCCGCGCCGCAUUAGCUAGUUGGUAAGGUAACGGCUUACCAAGGCAACGAUGCGUAGCCGACCUGGGAGGGUGAUCGGCCACACUGGAACUGAGACACGGUCCAGACUCCUACGGGAGGCAGCAGCC
rnacentral:rRNA from 1 species